CCAGAAACCAUCCUCCCAUCCAAAAUCAGGUUAACGGAACUUAGGAGGAUAAAUCUGGUAGCUGGAACAUCUUGAAGGAAUCUGGAGAUUAAAUCCAGGGCUUGAACAAACUAAGCAUGGAUUCUACCACAGAACUACCCUCAUAGACCGCAUUCUGAUUCCUAGAUACUCAGAGUCAUCUAUGGUUCGCGGAGCAUCUUUAAGAACCUUCAUCUGGUGAUGGAUGGAGAUAGAGACAGAGACACACUGGAGCACCGGACUGAG